rnacentral:misc_RNA from 1 species
GAUGAAGAACGUAGCGAAAUGCGAUAAGUAAUGUGAAUUGCAGAGUUCAGUGAAUCAUCGAAUCUUUGAACGCACAUUGCGCCCGCCAGUAUUCUGGCGGGCAUGCCUGUCCGAGCGUCAUUGCUGCCCUCAAGCACGGCUUGUGUGUUGGGCCCCGUCCUCCGAUCCCGGGGGACGGGCCCGAAAGGCAGCGGCGGCACCGCGUCCGGUCCUCGAGCGUAUGGGGCUUUGUCACCCGCUCUGUAGGCCCGGCCGGCGCUUGCCGAUCAACCCAAAUUUUUAUCCAGGUUGACCUCGGAUCAGGUAGGGAUACCCGCUGAACUUAAGCAUAUCAAUAAGCGGAGGA